AUACGUAGGGUGCGAGCGUUGUUCGGAUUUACUGGGCGUAAAGGGUGUCUAGGCGGAUCGGUAAGCUAGAGGUUAAAGCCCGGGGCUCAACCCCGGAAUCGCUUUUAGAACUGCAGAUCUAGAGAGGGUCAGAGGCCAGCGGAAUUCCAGGUGUAGAGGUGAAAUUCGUAGAUAUCUGGAGGAACACCGGCGGCGAAAGCGGCUGGCUGGGGCCCAUCUGACGCUGAAGCACGAAAGCGUGGGGAGCGAACGGGAUUAGAAACCCCAGUAGUCC
rnacentral:rRNA from 1 species